CCUCAGCUCAGUUGGUAAACAAUCUGCCUGCAACGCAGGAGACCCGGGUUCGAUUCCUGGGUUGGGAA
rnacentral:tRNA from 1 species